rnacentral:lncRNA from 10 species
UACUAUUUUGCUUCCUGCUUUCAAAAUUACGUUUGUUUCAAGACAACCUGGAUGGAGUCAGCCUUAAUGUCACUGAUAAACAAUGUACACGCCUGUCACGUUUUCCAUUCAUUCAACACUGGCUAGCUGGCUCUGCUGAAGCAGAGGAAGUUAAUGCAAUAAUAUAAUGAAGAAGCAAGAGGAAGCCUGUACAGGGAGGGAAAGUUUGGGAGCAGAUACAUGCACACUGGAAGACCACCAUGUGAAGAAUGGACUUAUGCUGCCACAUCCAGGGAAACACCAGAGACUGGGAGAGAGUACUGGAGCAGAUCCUUCCUUAGUGUCCUGCAGACACUGUGAUCUCAGACUUCUGGGCUCCAGAACUUAGAGAGAAUAAACUUCUCUUUUUUGACCCACUCAUUUUGUAAUAUUUUGUCACGGCAGCCCUAGAACAUUAAUACGCUCUUCUUUUCCAGCUGUGGAAGCUGCCCACAUUCCUUGGCUUUUGUCUCCUUCCUCCAUCUUCAGAGCCAGCAGCAUUGCAUCUCUCUGACUUCUUUCAUAGUUGCAUCUCCCCCUAACCACAGCCAGAACGCCUUCUCCAAUUUUAAAAACUCAUGUGACAGUAAGCCCAUCUAGGUAAUCCAGAAUAAUCUCUCCACAUCAAUGUCUUUAAUUUAAUCCCAUCUACAAAGUCUCUUUUGCCAUGUAAGGUAACACAUUCAGAAGUUCCGGGGAUUAGGGCAUAGGCAGCUUUGGGUAGUGGGCAUUAUUCUGCCCACCUGAGAAGAAUAAAUUUUAAAGCAUCAUAAUAAAAU